GCAAGUCGAGCGGACAGAUGGGAGCUUGCUCCCUGAUGUUAGCGGCGGACGGGUGAGUAACACGUGGGUAACCUGCCUGUAAGACUGGGAUAACUCCGGGAAACCGGGGCUAAUACCGGAUGGUUGUUUGAACCGCAUGGUUCAAACAUAAAAGGUGGCUUCGGCUACCACUUACAGAUGGACCCGCGGCGCAUUAGCUAGUUGGUGAGGUAACGGCUCACCAAGGCAACGAUGCGUAGCCGACCUGAGAGGGUGAUCGGCCACACUGGGACUGAGACACGGCCCAGACUCCUACGGGAGGCAGCAGUAGGGAAUCUUCCGCAAUGGACGAAAGUCUGACGGAGCAACGCCGCGUGAGUGAUGAAGGUUUUCGGAUCGUAAAGCUCUGUUGUUAGGGAAGAACAAGUACCGUUCAAAUAGGGCGGUACCUUGACGGUACCUAACCAGAAAGCCACGGCUAACUACGUGCCAGCAGCCGCGGUAAUACGUAGGUGGCAAGCGUUGUCCGGAAUUAUUGGGCGUAAAGGGCUCGCAGGCGGUUUCUUAAGUCUGAUGUGAAAGCCCCCGGCUCAACCGGGGAGGGUCAUUGGAAACUGGGGAACUUGAGUGCAGAAGAGGAGAGUGGAAUUCCACGUGUAGCGGUGAAAUGCGUAGAGAUGUGGAGGAACACCAGUGGCGAAGGCGACUCUCUGGUCUGUAACUGACGCUGAGGAGCGAAAGCGUGGGGAGCGAACAGGAUUAGAUACCCUGGUAGUCCACGCCGUAAACGAUGAGUGCUAAGUGUUAGGGGGUUUCCGCCCCUUAGUGCUGCAGCUAACGCAUUAAGCACUCCGCCUGGGGAGUACGGUCGCAAGACUGAAACUCAAAGGAAUUGACGGGGGCCCGCACAAGCGGUGGAGCAUGUGGUUUAAUUCGAAGCAACGCGAAGAACCUUACCAGGUCUUGACAUCCUCUGACAAUCCUAGAGAUAGGACGUCCCCUUCGGGGGCAGAGUGACAGGUGGUGCAUGGUUGUCGUCAGCUCGUGUCGUGAGAUGUUGGGUUAAGUCCCGCAACGAGCGCAACCCUUGAUCUUAGUUGCCAGCAUUCAGUUGGGCACUCUAAGGUGACUGCCGGUGACAAACCGGAGGAAGGUGGGGAUGACGUCAAAUCAUCAUGCCCCUUAUGACCUGGGCUACACACGUGCUACAAUGGACAGAACAAAGGGCAGCGAAACCGCGAGGUUAAGCCAAUCCCACAAAUCUGUUCUCAGUUCGGAUCGCAGUCUGCAACUCGACUGCGUGAAGCUGGAAUCGCUAGUAAUCGCGGAUCAGCAUGCCGCGGUGAUACGUUCCCGGGCCUUGUACACACCGCCCGUCACACCACGAGAGUAUGUAACACCGGAAGUCGGUGAGGUA
rnacentral:rRNA from 1 species